GUGACAGUGUGAGUGUGUACAAGAUUCUGUGUGUGUGUGUGUGUGCGCUACACCCUACAACGCUACAUCCUCUUGUGGAUACACAGGUGUGUGUGUGUGUGUGUGUGUGUGUGUGUGUGUGUGCUACACCCUACAACGCUACAUCCUUUUGUGGAUACACAGGUGUGUGUGUGUGUGUGUGUGUGUGUGUGUGCGCUACACCCUACAACGCUACAUCCUCUUGUGGAUACACAGGUUGACAUUGCAGUUGGUGCAGAAGUGAUG